ensembl:snRNA U1 U1 spliceosomal RNA
AUACUUCCCUGGCAGGGGAGGCACCAGGAUCAGGAAGGUGGUUUUCCCAGGGCAAGGCUCACCCAUUGCACUCCGGGUGUGCUGACCCCUGCGAUUUCCCCAAAUGUGGGAAACUCGACUGCAUGAUUUGUGGUGUGGGGUUGGGGGGACUGCGUACUUGCUAUCCCGUU